UGAGUACGAGCGGCUACGGCCGCGAAGUGGAUGAUGUCAAGCUUCCAAGAAAAGCCCUAUACCCGUUAAGGCAUGAUGGCCUGUACCCGAAACCGACACAGGUGGGUGGUAGAGAAUACCGAGGGGCGCGAGGUAACUCUCUCUAAGGAACUCGGCAAAAUGGCCCCGUAACUUCGGGAGAAGGGGUGCCACCGCGAGGUGGUCGCAGUGAAGAGGCCCAGGCGACUGUUUACCAAAAACACAGGUCUCCGCUAAGUCGCAAGACGAUGUAUGGGGGCUGACGCCUGCCCAGUGCCGGAAGGUUAAGGAAGCUGGUCAGCGCAAGCGAAGCCGGCGACUGAAGCCCCGGUGAACGGCGGCCGUAACAAUAACGGUCCUAAGGUAGCGAAAUUCCUUGUCGGGUAAGUUCCGACCCGCACGAAAGGCGUAACGAUCUGGGCGCUGUCUCGGAGAGAGGCUCGGCGAAAUAGAAUUGUCUGUGAGGAUGCGGACUACGUGCACCCGGACAGAAAGACCCUAUGAAGCUUUACUGUAGCUUGGUAUUGUGCUCGGGCUCGGAAUGCGCAGGAUAGGUGGGAGGCUUUGAUCCAUUGCUUGCGGGUGAUGGUGAGCCACUGGUGAGAUACCACUCUUUCCGAGCUAGAGUUCUAACAGCAACCCGUUAUCCGGGUGCUGGACAGUAUCAGGUGGGCAGUUUGACUGGGGCGGUCGCCUCCUAAAAGGUAACGGAGGCGCGCAAAGGUCUGCUCAGGCUGGUUGGAAAUCAGCCGACGAGUGUAAAAGCAGAAGCAGGCUUGACUGUGAGACCUACAAGUCGAACAGGGAGGAAACUCGGCUUUAGUGAUCCGACGGUUCUGCGUGGAAGGGCCGUCGCUCAACGGAUAAAAGUUACUCUAAGGAUAACAGGCUGAUCUCCCCCAAGAGUUCACAUCGACGGGGAGGUUUGGCACCUCGAUGUCGGCUCAUCGCAACCUGGGGCUGAAGUCGGUCCCAAGGGUUGGGCUGUUCGCCCAUUAAAGCGGUACGCGAGCUGGGUUCAGAACGUCGUGAGACAGUUCGGUCCAUAUCCGGUGCACGCGCAGGAAUAUUGAGAGGAUUUCUCCCUAGUACGAGAGGACCGGGAGGAACGCACCUCUGGUGUGCCAGUUAUCGUGCCAACGGUAAACGCUGGGUAGCCAUGUGCGGAGUGGAUAACCGCUGAAAGCAUCUAAGUGGGAAGCCCACCUCAAGAUGAGUAUUCCCAUGGCAUAAGCCAGUAAGGUCACGGGAAGAACACCCGUUGAUAGGCUCUACGUGGAAGCGCAGUAAUGUGUGAAGCGGAGGAGUACUAAUAGACCGAGGGCUUGAC
rnacentral:rRNA from 1 species